AUACAGAGGGUGCGAGCGUUAAUCGGAAUUACUGGGCGUAAAGCGCGCGUAGGCGGUCUAUUAAGUCAGAUGUGAAAUCCCCAGGCUCAACCUGGGAACUGCAUCUGAUACUGGUAAGCUAGAGUUUUGGAGAGGGAAGUAGAAUUUCAGGUGUAGCGGUGAAAUGCAUAGAGAUCUGAAGGAAUACCAGUGGCGAAGGCGACUUCCUGGCCAAAAACUGACGCUGAGGUGCGAAAGCGUGGGUAGCAAACGGGAUUAGAAACCCUUGUAGUCC
rnacentral:rRNA from 1 species